GGCUCGAUAGCUCAGUUGGUAGAGCAACGGAUUGAAAAUCCGUGUGUCCCCAGUUCGAAUCUGGGUCGAGCCACCA
rnacentral:tRNA from 1 species